rnacentral:rRNA from 1 species
CGCGUAGGCGGGAUGGCAAGUCGGUCGUGAAAUCCUUCGGCUCAACCGAAGAACGUCGGCCGAUACUGCCGUUCUUGAGGGAUGCAGAGGAGACUGGAAUUCCCGGUGUAGCGGUGAAAUGUGUAGAGAUCGGGAGGAACACCGGUGGCGAAGGCGGGUCUCUGGGCAUCUCCUGACGCUGAGGCGCGAAAGCGUGGGGAGCAAACGGGAUUAGAUACCCUGGUAGUCCACGCUGUAAACGAUGGGUACUAGGUGUUCGGGGUGUUGACCCCCUGAGUGCCGACGCUAACGCAUUAAGUACCCCGCCUGGGGACUACGGCCGCAAGGUUAA